rnacentral:lncRNA from 1 species
UUGAAGUUUGAAAUGGAGUGAUCGAAAUAAAAAUAAAAAUAAAUGAAUACAUAAACAAGAAUUAACUUGAGGGCUGUAAUAAUAACUCAACAAUCUUUAAGAUGGCACAAUAGCUACAUUAGCUUACACUGAAUAAUAAACAUUAUUGACAUAAAACAGCUGCUAGUGUGUUAAGCAACAAAAUUCCAGCAAGAUUGGAAAGGCAGAGCAAAAUUAAUUAUCAGAUGUAAAUCUACAGAAAGUUGAACACAAACAGAUGCUGGUCACAACUAUAAGACGUCCGCAUCUUCACGUGCUUUUCAUCCCCUAGCUUGUGUUAUGAGAUGUCAUCAGCAAACCGCAAGAAACUGGAAUAAUAAGAAUCGACAAAUUAGAGAUGCUACCCAGUAUCUACUGGGGAAGAGAAAAUCACACAAUUAUCAGCUUUAGCUAGCUUCACGAAUUGGCUCAAAAACAAAUCACAUAGAAGCAUGGGGAAGGAGCAGUUUCGGCCUCGUAUACCACGGUCGUUUGUGGUUGCCGGAGAAGGAACCGGAGGUACGGUCAACCAGCUGGACCAAAACGUCGAGGCCAGCCUCCUCAAGCUACUCUGGAGUCCUGGUGAGGUGCUGAUGCCGAGCCUCCUCAAGCUACUCUGCCGACGCCGACCGUUGUAUUGAGUGGUCACCUCCUCGUGCAGGUCUCCUCCUCGUCGUGGUAGAGACGACGGUGGUGUAGUCAGAGGAGGAAGGGCAUGAGGGGUGCGACCUCGAUCUGGUGGAUUUUAGUGGGUGUUGCUGAUCUCUUAGGGCGCUGAAGGGAGCGGCGCAACUCGGGAGGGGAGGGGCAGUCAGCGACUGGAUUUUCAGGAUGGGAAUGGGCCGACCCGGCCCUGGCCUUGGACCCGGCCCUCAUGGCCCCAAGGCCAAUUUGAGAAGCCACGGGUUGACCCAUAUAAAAAAUAGUCAGUGGCCUUG